rnacentral:rRNA from 1 species
AACGUAGGACACAAGCGUUAUCCGGAGUUACUGGGCGUAAAGGGCGUGCAGGCGGUUUCUUAAGUCAGGCGUGAAACCAUUCGGCUAAACCGGGUGUAGUCGUCUGAGACUGGGAGACUAGAGUGUGGUAGAGGCGUGUAAAAUUCCGGGUGUAGUGGUGAAAUGCGUAGAUAUCCGGAGGAAUACCAGUGGCGAAGGCGGCACGCUGGGCCAUAACUGACGCUAAGACGCGAAAGCAUGGGUAGCGAACGGG